rnacentral:tRNA from 15 species
GGUCCUGUAGGCAAAUUGGCAAAGCCGCGUCACUCAAAAUGACGUGUCUGUGGGUUCGAGUCCCACCGGGACUAC